rnacentral:rRNA from 1 species
AUACGUAGGGGGCGAGCGUUGUCCGGAGUUACUGGGCGUAAAGGGUGCGUAGGCGGCCCAUUAAGUCAGGUGUGAAAAACCCUGGCUCAACCGGGGUAUUGCACUUGAAACUGGUGGGCUUGAGUGCAGGAGAGGGAAGCGGAAUUCCUGGUGUAGCGGUGAAAUGCGUAGAUAUCAGGAGGAACACCAGUGGCGAAGGCGGCUUCCUGGCCUGUAACUGACGCUGAGGCACGAGAGCGUGGGGAGCAAACAGGAUUAGAUACCCUGGUAGUCCACGCUGUAAACGAUGGAUACUAGGUGUAGGGGGCGAUUUAGCCUUCUGUGCCGAAGUUAACGCAAUAAGUAUCCCGCCUGGGGAGUACGGCCGCAAGGUUGAA